GAUGAACGCUGGCGGCGUGCCUAAUACAUGCAAGUCGAGCGAACAGAUGAGGAGCUUGCUCCUCUGACGUUAGCGGCGGACGGGUGAGUAACACGUGGAUAACCUACCUAUAAGACUGGAAUAACAACGGGAAACCGGAGCAAAAACCGGAUAAUAUUUUAAACGGAAUGGUUAAUUAGUGAAGGAGGGUUUUGUUGCACCUAAUGGUUGGUUCGGCCCCGCAUUGGCUAGUUGGGAAGGUAACGGCUUCCCAAGGCAACGAUGCGAAGCCGACCUGAGAGGGUGAUCGGCCACACUGGAACUGAGACGCGGUCCAGACUCCUACGGGAGGCAGCAGUAGGGAAUCUUCCGCAAUGGGCGAAAGCCUGACGGAGCAACGCCGCGUGAGUGAUGAAGGUCUUCGGAUCGUAAAACUCUGUUAUUAGGGAAGAACAAAUGUGUAAGUAACUAUGCACGUCUUGACGGUACCUAAUCAGAAAGCCACGGCUAACUACGUG
rnacentral:rRNA from 1 species